rnacentral:tRNA from 1 species
UGCCGGGACCUGGGAUCGAACCAGGGACCGCUAGAUGUUCAGUCUAGUGCUCUCCCAACUGAGCUAUCCCAAC